rnacentral:rRNA from 1 species
UGGGGAAUAUUGCACAAUGGGCGCAAGCCUGAUGCAGCCAUGCCGCGUGUGUGAAGAAGGCAUUCGGGUUGUAAAGCACUUUCAGCGGGGAGGAAGGCGGUGAGGUUAAUAACCUCAUCGAUUGACGUUACCCGCAGAAGAAGCACCGGCUAACUCCGUGCCAGCAGCCGCGGUAAUACGGAGGGUGCAAGCGUUAAUCGGAAUUACUGGGCGUAAAGCGCACGCAGGCGGUCUGUCAAGUCGGAUGUGAAAUCCCCGGGCUCAACCUGGGAACUGCAUUCGAAACUGGCAGGCUAGAGUCGUGUAGAGGGGGGUAGAAUUCCAGGUGUAGCGGUGAAAUGCGUAGAGAUCUGGAGGAAUACCGGUGGCGAAGGCGGCCCCCUGGACAAAGACUGACGCUCAGGUGCGAAAGCGUGGGGAGCAAACAGG